rnacentral:rRNA from 1 species
GGAUGCGAUCAUACCAGCACUAAAGCACCGGAUCCCAUCAGAACUCCGAAGUUAAGCGUGCUUGGGUGAGAGUAGUACUAGGAUGGGUGACCUCCUGGGAAGUCCUCGUGUUGCAUUNN